AUGCUUCUACUUUCUGUAUGGAGCUGGGAGCGUCUGCGUGUUGGACGCCCGAAGAGCGUCAGGUUUAAUCCUUGGUAUGAAGAUGAAGAUGACGAAUUACGGCGCCCCACUUGGGCUUACAAGUGGGAUGUGGUUUCCGAGAUGACGAACGAUGUCAAUCUCAUGUACCAGAAGUACUUUACCGAGUUGGACAUGAUUACGCCUGAGCAGGUGGAAUGGCAGCCAUAUGGCGCCGAUGACAGACUUGGGUACACCCCGGAGUUUAGCAUCAACCCGAUGUGCUUGCGAGAUAGGGAUCUCUGGCUUAUGCGGUGCCCACUGAUAUGCAACUGGGCUGUUGAGUUUCAUUUGCCGCAUCGCGUGUUUCGUCAGUUUGGUCUGUUCCAGCCUCAGCCACCGGAAUGGGUGGAUACGGACAAAGCACUUCAUAGGUUGGACAGGAGAAGGUAG
rnacentral:rRNA from 1 species